UACGGAGGGAGCUAGCGUUGUUCGGAAUUACUGGGCGUAAAGCGCACGUAGGCGGCUUUGUAAGUUAGAGGUGAAAGCCUGGGGCUCAACCCCAGAAUUGCCUUUAAGACUGCAUCGCUUGAAUCCAGGAGAGGUGAGUGGAAUUCCGAGUGUAGAGGUGAAAUUCGUAGAUAUUCGGAAGAACACCAGUGGCGAAGGCGGCUCACUGGACUGG
rnacentral:rRNA from 1 species